rnacentral:rRNA from 1 species
AUUGAACGCUGGCGGCAUGCUUUACACAUGCAAGUCGAACGGUAACAGGGAGCUUGCUCCGCUGACGAGUGGCGAACGGGUGAGUAAUGCGUCGGAACGUGCCGAGUAGUGGGGGAUAACGCAUCGAAAGGUGUGCUAAUACCGCAUACGUACUGAGGUAGAAAGUGGGGGACCUUCGGGCCUCACGCUAUUCGAGCGGCCGACGUCUGAUUAGCUAGUUGGUGAGGUAAAGGCUCACCAAGGCGACGAUCAGUAGCGGGUCUGAGAGGAUGAUCCGCCACACUGGGACUGAGACACGGCCCAGACUCCUACGGGAGGCAGCAGUGGGGAAUUUUGGACAAUGGGCGCAAGCCUGAUCCAGCCAUGCCGCGUGUCUGAAGAAGGCCUUCGGGUUGUAAAGGACUUUUGUCCGGGAGCAAAUGCUGGUGGCUAACAUCCACCGGAGCUGAGAGUACCGGAAGAAUAAGCACCGGCUAACUACGUGCCAGCAGCCGCCGCAGUAA